UUAAGUUCAGCGGGUAUUCCUACCUGAUCCGAGGUCAACCUUUGAAAGUUUUGGGGGUUUAGCGGCUGGUGCGCGCCGGUGACGGGCCGAGCGAGGGUUCGCGUUUUACCGCGUUUUUACUGCGCUCAGUGUACCGACGAGCCCGCCGAUGAACUUGGGGGCCCCAGGCCGCGGGGGACCCGGGCGCCCCAACACCAAGC
rnacentral:misc_RNA from 1 species